rnacentral:rRNA from 1 species
UGGGGAAUUUUGGACAAUGGGCGCAAGCCUGAUCCAGCCAUGCCGCGUGCGGGAAGAAGGCCUUCGGGUUGUAAACCGCUUUUGUCAGGGAAGAAAUCUUCUGAGUUAAUACCUCGGGAGGAUGACGGUACCUGAAGAAUAAGCACCGGCUAACUACGUGCCAGCAGCCGCGGUAAUACGUAGGGUGCAAGCGUUAAUCGGAAUUACUGGGCGUAAAGCGUGCGCAGGCGGUUUUGUAAGACAGAGGUGAAAUCCCCGGGCUCAACCUGGGAACUGCCUUUGUGACUGCAAGGCUUGAGUGCGGCAGAGGGGGGAUGGAAUUCCGCGUGUAGCAGUGAAAUGCGUAGAUAUGCGGAGGAACACCGAUGGCGAAGGCAAUCCCCCUGGGCCUGCACUGACGCUCAUGCACGAAAGCGUGGGGAGC